CCGCGCCCUCACCCCGGCCCUGCCCCCUCCCGGCCCGCCCCCCGGAGCCGGUCAGCCGAGAGGACCCCGGGGCGGAGGGCGGGGACCCGCGGGCGGGGGCCGGCUCCUGUUGCUUCCGCUCCCCGCAGCGGGGGCCUGGGUGGUGGGGACUGUGCGCCCGGAGCUGGGUCUGGCCGGAAGAGUCAAUCUCCCCCCAAGGCCGGAGGGCGGGUGUGAGAUCGGGGCAGUAGAGGAAGGGGCUUGGGGCGGGAAUGAGGGGUCGGGUCGGGCAGAAGACUAGCUAAACCGGGCCUUUGUCUCCGGGGUGCUCGCUGUUCCCCUGCGUGGCCCCUCCUGCCUGGCAGGUGAGGCGGGGCCAGCCCGUGGGGCUCCCCAGACUGUCGCAGCUCCUCAGCGUUGGAGCGAAGGUGAACAGAAUCACGAAGGUAUCUGAAGUAGGAGCUGGACAAUAAUUAGAAAUCAGCAUUAACGUGGACCAUUGCGUCUUCGCCAGAGUUCCAGAAAUGACCCAUUUCUGGGCCAGCAGAACAGGAGGUGGAAAGAUGGCAGAGCUUCUGCCGGGUGACAGCUCACGGGAAGGGGAGAGUCCUGGGCUCUGAGAGACGCUGGGGCAGCGGUGUUUUCUCUGCCUGCUUGUGGAGAUUAAGAAAGUGAGC
ensembl:lncRNA